CAGUAUGUCUGUCAAUGUGUAUCUGUGUCGGUAUGUCUGUCAAUGUAUGUGUCUGCGUGUGUGUCAGUAUGUGUUUAUGUGUGUGUGUGUCAGUAUGUCUGUCAAUGUAUGUCAGUAUGUUUGUCAGUGUAUGUGUCUGUCUGUGUCAUUAUGUCUGUUAGUGUAUGUCCUUUUGUAUGUGUGUCAGUAUGUCUGUCAAUGUGUAUCUUUG